AAAGCGAACGCUGGCGGCAGGCUUAACACAUGCAAGUCGAGCGGGCGUAGCAAUACGUCAGCGGCAGACGGGUGAGUAACGCGUGGGAACAUACCUUUUGGUUCGGAACAACCCAGGGAAACUUGAGCUAAUACCGGAUAAGCCCUUACGGGGAAAGAUUUAUCGCCGAAAGAUUGGCCCGCGUCUGAUUAGCUAGUUGGUGAGGUAACGGCUCACCAAGGCGACGAUCAGUAGCUGGUCUGAGAGGAUGAUCAGCCACACUGGGACUGAGACACGGCCCAGACUCCUACGGGAGGCAGCAGUGGGGAAUAUUGGACAAUGGGCGCAAGCCUGAUCCAGCAAUGCCGCGUGAGUGAUGAAGGCCUUAGGGUUGUAAAGCUCUUUCGCCCGCGACGAUGAUGACGGUAGCGGGAGAAGAAGCCCCGGCUAACUUCGUGCCAGCAGCCGC
rnacentral:rRNA from 1 species